rnacentral:lncRNA from 1 species
AAAAGUUGUUUAAAAUAUGAUGUAACUCUCCUCUUUUUGAGUACAAAAUUCUAAGUUUUCAAAGGUUUUGUAUAGAAGAACUAUACAAAUCCUUGGUAUUUCUAUUUUCUUUUCUACAUCAGUAAAAUUACCCCUCGUUCGUCUGAGGGAGGGUUGUUCUCAACCUGAUUAUAACAAACACGGGUCAAAGUACGGCCUUUUACACAGGGCUUUGAUACAGACCAAACAGCAGGCUAUAAAGGACCCCAAAAUUAUUAGCGUACACAAUUCGAACAGGAAAACCAACGAUCUAAUUUAUAUAUUAUAAAAUUGAGAAAGGAAAUGGUGAAUAUGUCAAAGCGACAACCACCCGACCAUAGAGCAAACAACAGCCGAAGGCAACCAAUGGGUCUUCAAUGUAGCGAGAAUUCCCGCACCCGUAGGUGUCCUUCAGCUGGCCCCUAAAAUAUGCAUAAUAGUACAGUGAUAAUGGACGUCAUACUAAACUCCGAAUGUAUAUCCAAACUAGAAAUAUCAAUGAACAACAUCAACAAACGAUAACUGCUGAACGACAGGCCCCUCAAUCAACCAGGACAGGUGCAUAAACAUGCAGAGGCUAUGGAUAGUUUUGUUUCGCCAGC